UAGAACAGCUCAGAGGAGGCCUAGAGUG
rnacentral:piRNA from 1 species